rnacentral:rRNA from 1 species
AACGAACGCUGGCGGCGCGCUUAACACAUGCAAGUCGAACGAGAAGGCGUAGCAAUACGCUUGUACAGUGGCGAACGGGUGAGUAAUACGUGGGUGACCUACCCUCGAGUGGGGAAUAACCCGCCGAAAGGCGGGCUAAUGCCGCGUACGCUUCCAUCUUUAUGGAGGUGGAAGGAAAGCCGUGCCGUGGGCACGGCGCUCAAGGAUGGGCUCACGUCCUAUCAGCUUGUUGGAGGGUAACGGCCUACCAAGGCUCCGACGGGUAGCUGGUCUGAGAGGACGAUCAGCCACACUGGCACUGCGACACGGGCCAGACUCCUACGGGAGGCAGCAGUGAGGAAUAUUGCGCAAUGGGCGAAAGCCUGACGCAGCGACGCCGCGUGGGGGA